UACGGGGGGGGGCAAGCGUUGUUCGGAAUUACUGGGCGUAAAGGGCUCGUAGGCGGCCAACUAAGUCAGACGUGAAAUCCCUCGGCUUAACCGGGGAACUGCAUCUGAUACUGGAUGGCUUGAGUUCGGGAGAGGGAUGCGGAAUUCCAGGUGUAGCGGUGAAAUGCGUAGAUAUCUGGAGGAACACCGGGUGGCGAAGGCGGCAUCCUGGACCGACACUGACGCUGAGGAGCGAAAGCCAGGGGGAGCAAACGGGG
rnacentral:rRNA from 1 species